rnacentral:tRNA from 1 species
GGGGUUGUAGCUCAAUGGUAGAGUACCCACCUCACAUGUGUGAGGUACUGGGUUCGAUCCUUAGCACCA